ACGAGACCCAUCGAAAGCCUUCACAACUACCCCACUCUGCCUCAUGGGAGGCCCUUGAUAUGAUAGCUUUCAGAGAGUGGACUUUGGCAAUACGUUCAAUGAUGACCCGAUGUCCACCAGUAUAUUGGACAUGGCGUCCUCUCUACAACCCAUAGAUAUAUGUAAUGCCAAGUUGUGGUCUCUUCCCUCCUCAGGGAGAUCAGAGUCACAAAAGCUCAGGUUGUUACAAGCAGUAAUGUUUGCAAUAAUGCUAUCGAAUUGCUCCAAAGUGACAUCGUGAUCCACAUAUGCCACAUCCAACACCUUCUGCAGAGCCUCUCGGUGUGGUUCUGAAUUUAAGAGUAAGGAUAACACAGAUAUUUUGGAUGGCGUUUGUAGAAGUUGGUCUAUAACAUUGUACUCGCUCCUUUUGAUGAGUCUCAGCAUCUCAUCACAGUCUUCUUUCACAUUGCCACUCGGGCCAACAGAAGUAGGAGUUUUCAGUACGGAGGAGGGCUUAACAGCAAGUGCUGGAUUCGGAGAAUUCACAGCGUUCCCGAUCGGGCGUUCAACAAAAUCAGCAUUAAUUUGAGGCUUCGGCGGUGCUGAAAAUACACGGCCACUACGGGUCAAACCGCUAACAUCGGCAAUAUUCACAACAGAAGAAGAGGGCAAGGACACCUCUUUCCCAUUCUCUACUACUACGGUGUUGUAGCGAUAGGGAACUGCCUUUUCAGAGGAGUAAGGCACAGGACCAGCAGGCUUAAUGAUCAGAGCGGGAGAAGCCUUCUGCUUGCUACCAUUGUACUUGAUGAUAACAGGCUCGGGUAUCCGGAACACUGGGGAGAUCACAUUGACCUCAGGCUCAUUUUCAUCAACAUUCCUGUUUUGAAGGAUCUCAAUGACUCCUUCGUCUAGCAUUUCCUGAACAUCCAUGCGCACCUGGCAACAACCCAAUCGGUUAACAGAGCAAACUCGGCAUCUAUCAUGGUCAUGCUCAUAAUGACUGUAGUUACAUAACAAACGGUGUGUCUCAACCAGCGAUUGUUGAAUAUGACUGACAUAUUUGACCUUGUAUUUUCCAGGGCAACCCUGGACCAUGUUGACAGAUUUCCCAUGUUCGGGCAAUGGGUUCUUCUUCACAUUAGGGCCUACGUCCUUAAAACAUAGAAUACCACACCUCACAAGGUCUUGAACCUUGGUCUUCAAAGGGUAACAAUUCUCCACGUCGUGGCCGGGAGCACCAGAAUGGUAAACACAAUGUAACUCAGGCUUAUACCACCACUGGGGGUUAGUAGGUAUAGCCGGUGGGUCUCUCGGAGUAAUCAGCUUCCUUUCUAUCAAAGAGGGAUAUAACUCCGCGUACAUCAUAGGAAUAGGAUCGAAGGUGACCCUUUUCCUCUCGUAACUCGUGCUGGUUUGAUUACUGUUUCGAGGCUGGUAGGCCUGCUGCUGCGGUCGGUGCUGUUGUUGCUGAUAUUGCGGAUGUGGUUGCUGAGUGUUACUAUGUUGUUGAUACUGUUGAUUGUCUCUGAAAACAGGUGCUAUAUGAGCCACCUGGUGCUGGUUACUGGCGGGACGCACAGUCUUCCUCCUCACAGUGGGUCUUCUUGGUUUCUCAUGGGAGAUCACAACAUGUGCCUCUCCAUCUUUCUUCUUUGCAAACUCCCCAUAACGUUUGACAGAAGAGCCUUCUUCUCUGGUUAACCGUCCUUCACGGACCCCUUCUUCUAGACGCAUCCCCAUAUUCACCAUCUCGGUGAAAUCAGAAGGAGCGCUAGCAAUCAUCCGCUCAUAAUAAAAGGAACUUAAAGUCUUCAAAAAGAUCUUAGUCAUCUCUUUCUCUUCCAGCGGAGGCACGAUCUGUGCUGCCACCUCUCGCCACCUCUGGGCGUACUCCUUAAAUGUUUCUUUAUCCUUAUGGGACAUGGCUCUCAAUUGAUCCCUAUCGGGAGCCAUAUCCACGUUGUACUUGUACUGCUUGACGAAGGCUUCGCCGAGAUCAUUGAAGGAUUGGAUGUUCGCGCUGUCUAAACCCAUGUACCAACGCAAAGCGGCACCGGACAGACUGUCCUGAAAGUAGUGGAUGAGUAGUUGGUCAUUAUCGAUUUGAGUUGACAUCUUCCUGGCAUACAUGACCAGGUGGUUGAGAGGACAAGUAUUUCCUUUGUACUUUUCAAAGUCGGGGACUUUGAAUUUCACAGGGAUCUUCACAUUUGGAACCAAGCAGAGUUCGGCAGCAGACUUGCCGAAAAGAUCCUUCCCUCUGAGGGUUUUCAAUUCCUUGCGAAGCUCAAGAAAUUGAUCGUUCAUAGCAUCCAUCUUCUCAUAAACAUCUGGACCCUCAGACGGCUCAGAAUGAUAGAUGGUGUCGUCUACCCUGGGCAAAGUAUGCACGACAGGAGGAGGAACGGCAAGGACCGGGCUAGAUGCUGGCAGAGAAGCAAAGGCGGGGACAGGACCCUCAGGCAUGAAAUUGGGAGGCAUGCCCCACGGGAACCCGGUUGGCAUGGCUGUUGGAACAAAGUGUGCACUGGCAGCGGGCACAAUAGAGGAGACAAUCUCAGAGAUAGCUAUCUUCUGGGGAGGAGUUGAAGGUGUCAGAGAGGACUGGCUCUGGGCAGCCAUGAAUGACUCCAUUAGGGCAGUCAAUCUGGCCACUUCCUCUUUCAGCUCGCGGUUCUCUUGCUCUAAGUGAUCCAUCAGUCUUGAAAUGUUGGCUCUAGUGUAGUACCGGUGAGUCAGCUUGUCUUCAAAAUAAAUGAAGGACACAGAGUUAGACCACAGGGCGAGGGACCGGAAACAAAACCUGUUUAUGCAUAUGAUGCAUGCAAUGCUUGUGCAUAUGAUUUGUUUUUUAUUUCAAAGAAACUUUAGAGUUUUAUUUGCAAAUUCUGGAAAUAUUAAGCAUUUUAUCACAUAUGGAAAUAUCUCAUCAAAUAAUAUCAGGGAAAAGAAGUGCAACAUCGUCAAUCAUAUACAAGAGAAAAGGAAAAUAAUCGUCUUAUGGAUCCUUAGAAACAAUCAUCUAAAGCUCGGGACACAAGAAGAUAAGAUGCGUGAAGCCUCUUCACCUCCCUCUCGUAGGCUGCCUCCAUAUCGGCCUUCUCUUUGGCGAGUCGAUCAUACCUCCUCUUCCAGAACUUAGAAGACUGAGGAAGUAGAGAAGUCCAUACAUCAUCAGGGUCAUCAAUAACCUGAUGCUCAAGAAACUCAAUCAACGCAUCCUUCUCCUUAAUCUGCUGAAGCAACUCUUCACGUUCACGGAUCCAGGCACGUGAACGGUCUUCGUCUCUCAUCUCCUCUACUCCUCGAUUAGGGAGGGUCGAAGGCCCAACCAUAAUCAUUGGUGUAGGUCUUGGAUACUCAUAAGGCAUGAGAUACUCAGACGCCCUCUUCCUAACCCAAACAGUGUAAGGGUCCAAAGCGAUGCAAUUCUUAGGACCCAACUCUUUCCUUCCUUUCCUAUGAAUCUUGCGCCAAGCGCGGACCAUCCUAGCUUUCAAGCCUUGGGGAUCUUUACCAUCCUGAAAGAAUACACCCUCUAACAGAAUGUUAUUGGGUUUAUCCUUCAAGGGGAACCCAAGCUGCCGACGUGCCAAAACAGGAUUGUAGUUAAUCCCACCACAUGUACCAAGAAGAGGUACAUUGGAGAAUUCGCCACAAGAGUCAAUAAUCUGCACACCAUCAUACACAUGGUUAUACCAAGAGAUAUCAUCAUUAGUGAGAGACAUAAGUCUCGUGGACCACCUUAGACAUUCCUUGUUCUCCUUGAAAGCGUCUGUCUGAGGUAAGUGAGAAAUAAACCACUUAUACAACAGAGGCAAACAACACACAAUGGCGCCACCACCCUUUGCGUUCCUCAUAUGCAAAGAGAAGUAGGUAUCGCCCAACAGAGUCGGAACGACAUUAAGAGUAGAGAAAACCCUAAUAGCGUUCACAUCCAUAAACUUGUCGAUGUUGGGGAAUAACACUAACCCAUAGAUGAGAAGUACAAAUAUGGCCUCAAAGGCGUCCUCACUCAUGGCCUUCCCAUACAUAGUAGCUUGAGCAAUGAGGAACAUAGAAGGGAGACCUUGAAUUCCCCCUUUGGUAGUCAUAUGAGCAUCAACCAGAGAUUCAUCUGUGUGUAACAUGUCUGCUAUCUCUUGAGAAGUGGGAACCCUUUCCAAGCCACUGAACGACAACUGAUCCAGAACAGGUAUACCCACAAGAUAAGCAUACUCCUCAAGUGUAGGCAAAAGCUGAAAAUCCGGAAAUGUGAAGCAACGGUACAAAGGAUCGUAAAACUGCACCAAUACACUCACCAAUCCUUCAUCCACCUGAGUAGUCAGAAGAGGAAGAAGGUUCCCAAAACGAGCCUUGAAACCCAAGGGAUCUAAUACAUAAGAUGUCAAAUUCCUUAACUCUUUCAAGUCUGGUUGUCUGAAACUGUACUUCUUUGUAUUCCUUCUUUGUCUUUCCAUGUCUGAAAAUUUUGCAAAUAGACCUCUUAAGUUCCUUGAAAAUUUUCUUAUUAUUUUGAUGAUAUGAAUGCAAAUGGGUGCAUGAAUGCAUGAAUGCAACAAUCACACUCAAGGAUCAAGCAAAGCACACCAAACAAAGGUCAUGGGAUGGAUCAUGUUAUCCUUAAUAUCAACCAUCCAUUUUGGUGGAUUAUGGUUUACACCUUAUCAACACCCAAGUGUAGCACCUCAAAUUUUCACCUCCCAUUUGUAUAUACAUUUUCAUUUUAGGUCAUUAACAUUGCAUUGUUCAUUGCAUAGUCCAUCAAGUCAUCAAGCAAGACUGGUUAGGAGAUUCAACUGUGCAAGGCAACAGGAGCAUUCUCCAUGAGAUCAAAUCCCUAGGGUGAUUCCCAAGAGUUCACAUGAUUCAAGGGUCAUUUUGAAGUGGUUUGGCCAAGAAUUGAAGGCUCAGAGCUCAUCAGUCCAUGUGCAAAUCAUCUAAAACCCUAAAAAGUCAACCGAAGUCAACUGUCAAUUCAACUAUGGAUUUGGAGGUGGGAAAUGGUUAGAGAUGCCUCAUUCAUGUUCAAACAAGUCUCAUUUGACAUUUCAAACAUCAACAUUGAAGGAUUUGAAGUCAGAUCAAAACUUUCCCAAAAUAGCAGGUGACCUGUAAUUUGAAUUUUCCAAAAAUGGAAAGGUUUUGGACCAACUUCAACUCAAGAUUAAAUCAUCAAGAAAGCUUCAAAUGAAAUUUUGUCCAACAUGAAAGUUGAAGAUCUUUCUCUCCCAUUUCCAAAAAGUCCAAGAUCAUGAAUUUCUCAUGUGUGGUUGAUGAGAUAUGGUUCAAACAUGGCAAAGUGUGGUUUAGACUUCAAAUGAGCAUAACUUUCAAACCAAAACUCCAAUUUGAGUGGUUCUUUUUGCACAUUGAUCCUUGUAACAUGUAUUUUCCAAGCAUAAAAUCAUUUGGCAUGAAAUCUCAUUUGCAUGGCAUUGGCUCAUUCAUGAAGAUUUUGGGAAGAAAUUUCAUAAACUCAUUUUGGUUGAAUAUAUGCAUACAAUAUCACUUCCAAAGCUUGCAUGAACACAUUUUAAGUGGAUUUUGGCCUUGCACAUGCACUGUUCACGUGCAUGAGGGUGCAUGGAGCAUGAAAUUUAUUUUUUGCAUUCACACCACAAAGUCCCUAAUCUCAUUUGCAUUUGCUUAAACCAUUGCCUAAACAUGAUUAGCAUGGACUAUAUAGCCUUAAUCAUAACUGAUUGCAUCACAAUUACCAAUUCUAGAUCUAGAAUCACAAAAAUCUCAAAAAUUCUCUCUUACUUUUUUUGCAAAAUCCUUCAAACACUAGCACUUUUCCUUGAUUCAUUCAUCAUCCUGAGCUAUAAUUGAGCACAUUUGUACGUGGAAACAGAGGAAAUUGUUGCAUUCUUGUUCAUGUUCAAGGUGUGAAGCAUCCAUGGAAGUUGAAGCUUGAGCUGGUUUGGUGUAUCCUUGAACCUUGCAUUCAUCAUCAUUCACCUUAAGAAGCAUAUUGGAAGAGAUUUGAGGCGUGGCAAAGCUUGGAAGCAAGGGAUUCCAAAUCUGCUCAUCGAGAGGUUACAUUUUCGACCUCUUCAAUUUUGAAAAUCAUUAUGCUAAAUGUAUAGAUCUUUUAUUGGUGGUAAUUCUAGAACAAAAAUGGAGUGAUUUCAUGCUGAUUUGAGUUAGAUCCAUGCAUUUAAAGUUUUGGUGAUGAUUUUUAUUUCUUUCGAUUUGCGCAUGUUUGUUUGUUUCUUGAUGAUUUGUUUGCAGAUUUGUGAUGUAUGAAGCAAGACCUACAUGAUGCUAUGAUCAUUUUUGAUUUCUGGACGAUUUGAUUUUUUUUGGAAAAUUGGGAUGAAGAUCUUCAUGAUCUUCAUCAUGUUCAUAUGCAUGUCCAGUUUUCCUGCGUAUUUUCCUGCGGAACGCAUGAGAUUACCUGCGAAAUUUGCCACGAGUUCAUGUUGUUACCUGCAGAUUUUUUGAAUGCAUGCUGGCGCGCGUUAGGGUUUAGGUGAUGAAACGCAGUCGUUUUUGUCGGGUGCGCAUGUAGUUUGAAAUUGUACAUGGCUCGAAUCCUGGUGAGCGCAUUUUCCACAUUGCCUUGUGUUUUUCAUCAUUUCUUCAUCAUUUCAUGUCUUGGCUUCACAUUUCCAUUUCAAUUUUUCUCAACUUCAUAAAUUCACAAUAAAUUGAAAACUCAUCCAAAAAUUAUGAGGUUUUUUGCAUCAUGAUCCUUAUCUUGUCUAGUUUUUUAUGAUCAUUAAAAUGCAAAUUGUGCCUAGCCUGGAAAUUAUUUUGUCUAAGGAUUUUAAACAUGUAUGCUUGCUUGACCUUGCCUUGCCAUAUCAUUUGUGAAAUGCUCAUCUUUGAUCCAAUGCUUAUGAAAUUUUGCAUGCUAUAACUAGACACUUUACUUGACAUUUUGGUGUUGAUUUGGUAUUUUUAUCAAUUACCAUUUCUGUUUUAUGAUCAUGCUAAGUUGGUGUGACAAUUUGUGUCAUACCUUGUGAUGUUCAAUUUGAAUGAUGUGUUAGCCAUGCCAAAUGAUCUCUAAUUGCCUUGAUUUUUUGUAUGAUGCAUAUUAUGGAUGUUGUGAAUGAGCAUGAAUUUUUUUGGAAUUAUUUGAUUCAUUCCUGAUUUAAUUGAGAUUUUUCAUUCUGGUUGGUCAUAUUUGAGUUUUAAAAUUGCCUUGAACUUCAUUUGAUCAUGAAAUGCUUGUUCCUUAUCCAAUGCUUCUGAAUUUUUGCAUACUAUUUCUAGACAUGUUGAGUGUUGUUUUGGCUUUGGUUUGAGGUUUUUACCAUGAUCCAUCCCUGUUUUAUGCCUAUGCUAACUUGGUGUGACAAUUUGUGUCACACAUGUGCUUGUUGUGAUUAUCUUGACUUAUGAUAUGUGAUUGCCAUGCCUAUUGAUGUCCAAUGCCUCUAAGUUUUUGUGUGAUGAUCAUGUUGUAUGUCCUGUUUACUCAUGAAUUUUGCCAAGAUUAGUUGAAUCAUUUUUAAUUUAAUGUGCAUUUAUUUCUUCUGAUGUCACAAUGUGAUCACAAUUUGCAUACCUUGUCAUGUUUGGUUCAUGAAAUGCUUUUGGUUAAUGAUAUUGAUAUGGGAACUUUUGGAUUGUGUUCUUGAUUGAUUGAAGUGGAUUCAUGUUAAAUUUCAUGUUCUGUUUUGAAUGUUUGACCUACUUUUGACCCUAGGCUUUGACCUAGUGGUUUGGACUCACUGUUUGGAUUAUGGAUUUCAGGUUAAGAAGCACAUUGCCAUGGUUGGAUUGGUCCACUCAUUUGAGUUGAUUAAUUGGUUGAUGUUGGCUAACCUUGAGUUGUUUUGUAGGCUUUGAGACCAAGUGGCUUAAUAGCUUGUGCCUUUCACAUUGAUGCUUAAUGCCUUAUCUGUCUGAUUGUGUGAUUGACUGUUGUCUGUCUGUUUGUUUGACUUGUAAACUGAUUGGUUUAGAUUUUUUUCAGGUACCUAAGUUGCUUUGAGUUCUUUUGAACUUGCUUUUGAUUUGCUUGGUUGCUUAACCAUUGAGGUUCAUUCAGGGGUCUAUUCACUGCGAGAGAUGGUAACUGGUCCAGAGUUGAAGCGGAAGACUUGUUCCUACAGUUUUCACCGUGAGCCAGUGACUUCUUUGAUAGAGUUGAGCAACCUUGUGACCGGCGGUAAUCAGAAAGUGUUUGCUGAUCAGUAUGGGGAUUUGUUGACACUGUUGAAGACGGUGGUAGAUCCAGUGUCGUUGCAGACUCUUCUACAGUUCUACGACCCAGAGUUCCGUUGCUUCACUUUCCAGGACUAUCAGUUGGCGCCUACCCUUGAAGAGUACUCCAUUCUGUUAAAUGUCCCGAUCCGAUAUCAGGUUCCUUUCUUGGAUGUGCCUAAGGAGGUUGAUUUCAGGGUUGUUGCCAGAGCUCUCCAUUUGGGUAUCAAGGAAGUCAGUGACAUUUGGAAGUCGAGCGGUGAUGUGGUAGGGUUGCCUUUGAAGUUCCUGUUGAGGAUUGCUAGAGAGGAAGCAAAGAAGGGAAAUUGGGAAACUUUUCAUGCUCAGUUGGCUAUCAUGAUUUAUGGGAUUGUCUUGUUCCCGAGUAUGGCCAACUUUGUGGACUAUGCUGCAGUCACUAUCUUCAUUGGAGGAAACCUGGUUCCUACUCUGUUAGCUGACACUUACUAUGCUAUUCAUAGUAGGCAUGGUAAGGGUGGAGCUAUCAGAUGCUGUCUCCCUCUACUACUCAGAUGGUUCUUGUCUCUUCUGCCAGUCAGUGGACCUUUUGUGGAUGCCCAGAGCACUCAUAAGUGGACUCAGAGGGUUAUGUCUCUUACCUCUUAUGAUAUCAGAUGGCAAUCUUACCGGAUGGAUGUGCGUAAUGUCAUUAUAAGCUGUGGAGAGUUUCAUAAUGUGCCACUUGUAGGGACUAAGGGUGGCAUCAAUUACAAUCCGGUUCUUUCUCUUCGCUAGUUGGGGUUCGUGAUGAAUGGAAGACCACUUGAUGCUGAGAUAGCUGAAAGUGUGUAUUUUGAGAAGCGGAGUGACCCUGAUAGGUUGGAACAAGUAGGAAGAGCUUGGAAGACCAUUGGUGUUAAGGAUGGAGCUGUCCUAGGGAAGAAGUUUGCCAUUGCUAUGCCUGAUUACACUGAAUGGGUCAAGAAGAGAGUGGAGACUUUGUUGUUGCCCUAUGACAGGAUGAAGCCAUUGCAAGCGCAACCACCUUUGAUCCUUGCUGAGAGUGUACCUGCUGAGCAGUACAAGCAAGCCCUGAUGGAGAAUCGCCGGUUGAAGGAAAAGGAGCAAGAUACCCAGAUGGAGCUUUACAAAGCCAAAGCUGAUAAGUUGAACUUGGCUCAUCAACUCAGAGACAUGCAGGGUGAAGGUGUUGCUAGACUGAAAAGCAAGAAGAGAUCUUACGAGGAGAUGGAGGCCUUGUUGAAUGCAGAACACCGGGAAUGCUUGAGGUUGCAGAGAGCUGAGGCCAGUUAUCAGAAGAAGAUAAGAGACUUGGAGAAGCAACUCAGAGACAAAGACAUCCAGCUGAAGAAGGAAGUUAACUUGAGACAUGCAUCAGAGAGCCAACUUGGAGGAGAAGUUGUGGAGCUCAGAAGACAACUGAAGGAGAAGCUCACUCCUUUUCCAGAAUGUUCAGAGUGUGACCUGUUGAUAGACCAGUGUCAGUACCUGAAGACUCUCAUUCCUGGAAGCCAUUUGUCUUAGCUUGUAUCUCUGUCGUGUAUGUUGAGAAUCACCUCCAGGCUUGUUGGAUGGGAUUCAUAGUUGUACUCCGAUUAUUUGGAUCUUUGUUGACAUUGUUGUAUGAUCCUUGUUGCUCAUAUCUAUAGAUGAGAUUGUUGAUGUU